rnacentral:rRNA from 1 species
UUCCGGUUGAUCCCCGCCGGACCUGACUGCUAUCGGAUUGAUACUAAGCCAUGCGAGUCAUUGUAGUAAUACAAGGCAGACGGCUCAGUAACGCGUAGUCAACCUACCCUGUGGACGGGGAUAACCUCGGGAAACUGAGAAUAAUACCCGAUAGAACAUUAUGCCUGGAAUGGUUUAUGUUUCAAAUAAUUUAUUGCCGUAGGAUGGGACUGCGUCCUAUCAGUUUGUUGGUGAGGUAAUGGCCCACCAAGACUAUUACAGGUACGGGCUCUGAGAGGAGUAGCCCGGAGAUGGGUACUGAGACACGGACCCAGGCCCUAUGGGGCGCAGCAGGCGAGAAAACUUUGCAAUGUGCGAAAGCACGACAAGGUUAAUCCGAGUGGUUUCUGCUAAAGGAACCUUUUGUCAGUCCUAGAAACACUGAUGAAUAAGGGGUGGGCAAGUUCUGGUGUCAGCCGCCGCGGUAAAACCAGCACCUCAAGUGGUCAGGAUGAUUAUUGGGUCUAAAGCAUCCGUAGCCUGCUUUGUAAGUUUUCGGUUAAAUCCAUACGCUCAACGUAUGGGCUGCCGGGAAUACUGCAAAGCUAGGGAGUGGGAGAGGUAGACGGUACUCGGCAGGAAGGGGUAAAAUCCUUUGAUCUAUUGAUGACCACCUGUGGCGAAGGCGGUCUACCAGAACACGUCCGACGGUGAGGGAUGAAAGCUGGGGGAGCAAACCGGAUUAGAUACCCGGGUAGUCCCAGCUGUAAACUAUGCAAACUCAGUGAUGCAUUGGCUUGAUGCCAAUGCAGUGCUGCAGGGAAGCCGUUAAGUUUGCCGCCUGGGAAGUACGUACGCAAGUAUGAAACUUAAAGGAAUUGGCGGGGGAGCACCACAAGGGGUGAAGCCUGCGGUUCAAUUGGAGUCAACGCCGGG